CUCCCUGAAGUCUGUCAGACUUGAAGGUGUGCCUAGUGGUCUCCCUGAAGAACCAAUUGAGGAGCUGCCAAGGACUUUUGGAUUAUCAAAAGGCUGAGCACAGAUACCAUCCAUACCUCCAUGGAAAUGCAUAAAUAAAUGACCUACCACCAGAGAUCCAUGCUAUCAUUGUAACAUAAAAGACAAGUCUCAGCUCUCCUGGAUCAGCAUUCAAGGCCCUGACCCAGAAGAAAACAUAGAUGAUGCUUUCUCUGAGAUAGGGAGGGGAAUGAGUGACUAUAAUACCUGAGAAAAUUUCUAUUAAUAAAAUUAAAGAAAUAGCAUAUAUGAGAAAUUCAGAGAUACACAGGAAGACUUAAAUGAACUGUCAGAGAACAAGGGUCAUCAAAAUACAAAGGCAAGACAAAAGUCAGAAUAAAUGUGAUGGUCUGGGAUGCAGUGGAUGACUUUGGCUUCUUCAAAAUCUAACCCAGAUCCAUGUGCUCUAUAGCUCUCCUGAUUCCACCACCACCAUGGCUGUUGGAACAAAUGGUUCUCAUCUGCCGGUUCCACCAGCAGAAGUCUCCUCAUAUCUGGAGAAGAGACAUCCUAACUCACCAACAGUUCUGAGACCUGUAGGCUACUCUCAACCUAAUUUAGUCCAUCUGCUGAGAUAGUUUACUUAGAUGUGGCCACUGUGCAUGCUUCUUUGAAGCACAGCCAAUAGCUGGGUUGGAAGGUGGCUACUGAAGGUAUAUGAGCAGAGGUACUGAUCUUUCCUGAACACCCAGAAAGCCCCAUCCUCCCAUUAGUUCACCACAAGAGAGGACACCCAAGGGCUGGGGACUUUCCUUGUCCCCUAUUUACAUUGCAACGACAUAUAAACUGUUCAGUAGUAAAUCAAGUGGUUAUGCUACUGUCUGAAAGGUCUCUCUUCCUUUUCAGUAUUAUACUUUUUGGAUGACUUCCUUUGGAAUAAUUCUUCUGCAUCAAUACAUUUUUGUGAAGUGUUAAAGUCCAUUUUCUCUUAACUAUGAGCUUAUCCAGUGCUCUUUGGCUAAUCUUUAACUUCAAAUACUCAAAAAUUAUAGUGUUUAAUGAUUUGCAGUGGUACCAUAUCACCAGAUGAAUUUUGGCAUUAAAAAGAUGGACUUCUUUUUGAAGGAAAGCUUAGAGGCAUUAAAAGAAAUUUGUAAUUUCUCAAAUACAAUCCAACCUGUUCUUCUCCUAUGCAAUUUGGUUCUGUGUCCAAGUCCAUUAU